UGUAGAGGCUGGAAUGUCCAAAAUCUGCAGGGCGGGCUGUCAAGCUGAGGACCCAGAGAAAAGCUGACAAUGCGGCUCAAGUCUGAAGGCAGGCUGGCAGCAGAAUUCCCGCUUUCUCAGGGCACCAUCUUUUUUCUCUUAAGGCUCUCAACUGACUGGAUGAGGCCCGCGCAUUAUGGAGGCACUUGAACUUUAUCAUGCCAUUUAUUUCUGUCCUUCAUGGUUUAUGAUGAGAAAUAUGCUGUCAACCAAAUCUUUGUUUCCCUAGAGUGCUGUGGGACUACUGACCUCUUCAAGAUGCUAUCGCUCCCAUCACACUGUUCUCCAAAAGUUCGUAAGGUUGGAUGGUGGAGAGAAGGAAAUGUUCUCCUUGCUGCUCAAACCCCUGGUGGGCAACAGCAGUCCAGAGAUGAAGCUGCAAAUUCAAGAUUUUACUGAAUGUUCUGCUAUAAAGGAAGUCAGACAACAUAAAUACUAAUUUAAAUUGUUACCAAAUAUAAUUAUUCUUAAAGCUUACAUGUCAAGUUACAUCCUCAGAUUGCUUUAAAGACGUUUCCUGUCUACUGCUCAGUCUUCUUCCAAUUGGUUGGACCCCUUCCUCACACCAUAUACAAAAUUAAUUUGACAUGGACCAUAUACCUAAACAUAAAAGCUAAACUAUGAAGAUUUUGAAAGAAAAUACAUAGAAUAUCUUUGCAAACUUAGAACAAGCAAAGACUUCUUAAAGAUAACACAAGCAAUUCAAACUACUGAAGAAAAAAAAGAUAAAUUGGAUUUAUCAAAAUUAAACAUGUCUACUCAUCAGAAAAUAAUACUAUUUAGAAAAUUAAAAAUUCAAUAAACUGGGGAAAAUAUGUGCAAUACAGAUAUCUGACAAAGGAAUUUAUCUAAAAUUUGUAAAGAAUUCCUAUAACUGAUAACAAAAAGUCAAAUAACCCAAUUUUAAAUGAGCAAACCUUUAAUAGACAUUUCACAAA
rnacentral:lncRNA from 1 species